rnacentral:snRNA from 1 species
UGGCGGGAUCCCUCGCGG